rnacentral:rRNA from 1 species
GACGUAGGUGGCGAACGUUAUCCGGAAUCAUUGGGCGUAAAGGGUGCGUAGAUGGCUUGAUAAGUUAGCAGUGGUAAAUCGAGGCUCAACCUCGUGGAAGCUGGUAAUACUGUCAGGCUUGAGUGCAGGAGAGGUUAACGGAACUCCAUGUGGAGCGGUAAAAUGCGUAGAUAUAUGGAAGAACACCAAUAACGGCGAAGGCAGUUAACUAUUCUGCUACUGACAUUGAGGCACGAAAGCGUGGGGAGCAAAACGG